UCCCCUACCCAUCUUCUCGUCCCUCACUCCCUAAUUCGCCUCCAUCGCUAGACAGCGCAGCAGUCAUUUAGCUAUGGAGGUCACAGGCCAUUGAAUCUAGAAGUGAAGGUCUUAAUUUCUUGUCCACCGAAAAGGCUGCUUUGACUGGCCUUCCCGAACGAGCUCACAAGAAAGUUGCCCUCCUGCUCACUGCCAGGCCUACAACAUUUCUCAAAUGCCUCCUAGAUCAAGACACCCAAGGGCAUCAAGAAACUCCCCAUGUGGUGGUCCAUGUUCUAAAUCUACAAGGUUUGGAUCAGAACCAUCAACCAACACACAUGUGCCUGAAGAAAGGAGGACUCAACCAAGUAGUGAUGCAAAUGAGGGAACUUCUAGCAUGAAUGUUCUCGUCGACCAAGCUAGUGAUACUGCUAGACUAUUUGAGGAGGAGAUGCCAUUGCUUAAUGAAGCACCAAAUCCCAGGCAACACCGAAACCCGACCUGGGGGAGAGGGCUAAACAAGCUUACUAGAUCUAUGGGUUGUAAAAUGCGGCAAUCAUUUGUCGAAGGGAAGAAACGACCUGAGCAGCUUGUGCAAGCAACAAACCUAGCUUCAGAGUCUGGCAUGGUGGUGCGGAACCAUGUACCUAUCUACCCACAUUGGAAGGAUUAUAAGAAUAAAAUGAAUAAGAUAUCCUUUACGAUCACUUGAGCUACCUAGCUGAUGGGGUCCAUCAAUAGCGUUAUAGGCUGAAAAGGAAAUAUUUCAAUGAUGUUCGGGAGAACGAAGUACUCUAAAAAACCCACCAAAUAUUACUCAAGAAGAUUCGGCAAAGCUUGUGCAGAAGUGGAAUUAUCCAAAACACAAGGCAACAUCUCAAAAGAACAAACAAAAUCGAGGAAAAGUCCGACUUCACCAAACGACUGGUUCUCAGAGUUAUGUUGCUAAAAGAUUCUCCUUGGACCAAAAUAAUGGGGAAGAACCUAAUUUGAUGGAUCUUUUGAAGGCUACCCACUUCAACAAGACAAAGGGUUACAAUGAUGAUGUACAAGAAGUAAUUGUAAGUAUAUUGUUUGCCAAAUAUAAAAUUGUACAUGUGUGAUGUUAUUUGAAUGAUACGUUGAUCUACAUGGAAAGCCAAAUUGUUGUUUUAGUGUGUUGUGUUCUUCAUAUGGGAGGGUUAUAGAAUAAUUUAAUUUUAUGACAUGCCAAGUAGCAGCCCGAUUUGUUUAAGACGUAUUACAUCUGCCCAAACUGUGGAGUUUGUACUCAUGUUUAGAUCCUAAUGGCAACCCAUUUUUCAACAGGGAUAGUAUGGAUGAGUAUUUUUAAUUCUUGUUGUUGGUGGAAAUUUUGCUUCUCAUAUGAAAAAUGGAUUUGUGUAAAACCCAACUAGAAUUAUUUAUGUUGUGAUCAUCCCAUUUCAUCAAAUUUUAGUUCAUACCCAAUUGUUUCAUGCUUUAUUUAAAAGGAGCUUUAUGCACCCUGUAUAGAAUAAUCCUACAUAUUCGUAUUGUCUGAAUUCAAUUUCAGGAUGCUAUGGAGACUGCAAUUGUGAAAAUUCCAGAAGAAGGUCAAUACCCAAAACCUGUAGAUGAAAUUGUAGGUUGAGUUAUAUCUAAGUACAACAAAUCAAGUAAGUUUUUGGUGAAUAUGGGCAUUCACUCAGGAGGUUCAAACCAAACUGGUACCAAUACAUCUGUUGCAUACAUAAGAGAACUUAAACAGUUGGUUCAAGAACAAACUCUACAGAUGAAUAAUGCGAGUAGAAAUGAGUAAGAGCUGCGUGAAACUGUUGGUUCUCAGCAGGAAGAAAUUGUUCAUUUGAAGAAGCAAAUGAAUCAAACAAAUGGCAUGAAGAGGACAUGGCCAUUUUGAAGAAAAAGCAAGAAACAAUUGAUGCACUUGUUAUGAAACUCUUGAGCAAAUCACUGAACAUCUAAAGCUCAGGUUACUCAUCUUUUUAAUGAAAUGGCAUGGUAGAUGCUUGAGAAGCUUUUGAAGUGUAACUUACAUGCAUGACAGGUUAAAGGCAUGCAAUAUUUUGCACUUAAUGUGUAGCUCGUAACCAUUGUUCUAUGUGUUCUUUACUUUGUGAUAACUCUGGAAUCCUAGUAGGAUG